UCUGGGCCUGAGAAGUGACCUGUGUCAGUUCCAGACCAAAGCAGUUUCAGAAAAGGACAUUAUUGAACACACUGAUGGAAUUCUGGAUUUCUGGUCCUAUGUUGAACAAAAGCGAUGAGAGUGGACAUCUUUGUCUUAUUCCAGAUCGUAGGGGAAAGCUAUUCUUCACCAGUUCUUCACCAUUGAGUAUGAUGUUCACCGAGUUUUUCACAGACAGCCGAUAUUGUUGAGAUUGCCUAUCUAGUUAAUACUGGCUGUGAUUGAGUUCUAACUUAGGGAAAUGAUUGCCAUAAGAAAGAACCGACGAA